GGGGGAGGUCCUUCGAGGCCGGAAGUUGUCGCGGCUGGAGACGCCGGAGGCCCGGGAGCUUGCUGCGCCCCGGACGUGCGGCCGGGUUUACGGCCUCGAAUAUAAAUCCCAUGAGUUUUGUUCACUGCUGUGAACCCAGAAUCUAGAAGGGCCAGUGUUUCCCCAGACACACUGUGACAAGGUUGAGUCUACUUGUGAAGAAACACCGAAGGCAGUGUGCUAGGUCUUGAAAGAGGAAGAAGCAUGUUAGAGGACAGCUUUCUCAGGUGUGCCUUCUGCAUGGUCUUUCUGCAAAUGAGGCCACUGUCUUCUAGCUAUGGGAAGUAGAUCACUUGUGUUCACAGCAUCAAGAGAAAUCUGUCAGCUCAAAGUCCUAAAUAAAAGUUGUCUAUCCAGAGAGCCCCUCCUGAA